UUUCUUUUAGUAUAUUUUAAAGGUAGGGCCUGCUCCAUGAGUUUUAGAUAAAUAGCUGCAGUAUUUUAACUGCACAAAGGUAGCAUAAUUAAUUGUUUCUUAAAUGGUGACUGGUUUGAAAGGUUUAAUGAGAAUAGUUUCGGUUUAGACUUUUUAUUGAAAUUUCUGUCUUGAUCAAAAAGUCAAGAUUAAUAAGAAAGACGAGAAGACCCUGUUGAGCUUAACGGUAUAUUUAAAAAUAUUGAUAGAAUUUUCGUUUUGAUGGGGCAUUUGAUUUUUUUGCAUAAUUUUUCAGAUCCUAUUUUGAGGAAAAAGGAUUAAGUUACCACAGGGAUAACAGGACAACGCUUACUAUAAGCACUUAUUUAGGUAAGAAAUUGUUACCUCGAUGUUGAAUCAAAGUUUACUUAUGGGCGCAGUGGUUCAAAAAGUGGGUCUGUUCGACCUUUAAAACUUUAC
rnacentral:rRNA from 1 species